UCAGAAUUUGGAUGAGAAAACCACUGAGCUUCACGCACUCCUUCCUUUCACCCAGCUAGUUCACCGGAUGACAUGGCAAUGCAAAAAGACAAGCUCCAGAGAACACAGAAAUCUACAUGAUUUUGCAUUUCAACAGAACAACAGAAUUAUUAUACAGAGGGAAGUCUCAGUCUGCUUGGAAGACUCAUGUUUGACUUAAAAGACACAUUGUUUCUCAAAAACCAAAAUAAUUUGUAUUUAUUUUUCAGGUUGUAGGAAUCCUUUCCCAAGAUUUUAGGGUCUUGGGCUUCCCUUUCUAUUAAGGUCAGUAAAAGUAGGUACUUGGACAUUUAAGAAAGAAAGGAUACCACAAAGUAAAUAGUAAGAUUUUAGGAAAAUAUAGAUCUAAUCUUAAAAAUUGCUUUUAUUCAGAAAAUAAAAGAAAACUGGGACUAAUCUCUGGGAGAGGUCCAGACAUUUGGGUAAUAUUGAACAGACACGAAAAGAGAACAUGACAAGUCUCAAAGAUGUUAAUGCUGUUUACUAGUGCUGAGCUAUCUUCCUCAGAAAUAUGGCCUUGACAGUCCAUGUGUGACCCAAGAACCUCUGGAUGCCAACUGGCAGAGGGCACUGGAGUACAUAGGGAUACCGAGAUCCCUGGGGAUCACAAACAGAAUGUCAUGAAGUAAAUGAACAGCGAGUUUGCUUUAUGGAAAAAGAAAUCUCACCCAGGCUUGGCUGAAAACUCAGGAGAGAUCUUUGGGUGAGAAAAGCUUCUUUAGACAGAAAGAGCCGGGGCAUCACAAGGAAUGUUAAAGGGGAAGGAAGGCCUUAGCUAUUGCUCCCUUUGCUGUUAUUGCACAGGGCAAUAGGUCCUGCCCGCAGCAAGGUGUGUUGCGUAAGGGCAGGUCUACACUAGAAGCGCUACAUCGAUGCAGCUGAGCUGCUGUAGCGUGUCUGGUGAAGAUGCUCCAUGCCAACAGAUACAGAUAUGACUUACCAGCAUGAAAGCCACAGUUAACCAGGCCUAAUUUUGUCUGUUGCAUCCCUCGGUGAAGGUGAUUGGUCAGAUACCACCAAUGUCAGCUAAGGCCUAAGCUCUCGUUGUAUUGACUUCAGAGGUACAGAAAAUGGCUACAGAAUCCCAGCUUCUUCACAGCCACAUGGACACCAAACUCAGAAUCCUUAGCACUAAAAUUGCCACAAUGGACUCCAGAUUAAACUCAGGUGUUGCUGGCAUGAGAUAUGAAGUGGCCAGUCUUCCCAUGACAGUAGACUGUAGAUUGGUUGGUGUGAAAUUUCAAGUAAGUGAUGGCCUCUAUAAUGGAAGGCAUGGAUAUUUAUUGCAAAAAAUUGAUGCUAUCCUUUCCACUGGCCUAAGCUGACAUGCCACACUAUCAGAUUUGCCUUUUACAAUGGAACAUGAGAAAGUGAAUGAGGAUAAAUGUAUAGUUACUUCAGUGUCCUCUCCCAAAGGUGUCUGCCUCAUGUAUCUCUGUGCCCUCUAAUGGCCUGCCAUUCUUCCUGGACAUGAUGUCUGUUGAUGCCACAAAAUAACAUUUAUUGUCCAUUUCGGUGGCUGCUGAUUACUUGCAACUAUCAGUCAUGACUCCAUUGGAGCCAAUAUGCAGGCCAGUCCACUCAUUUGAGUAGCUGCUGAGCUCCUGCUAUUCUUUAUGCACCUUCUGACAGAGUGAGUAGAUCUUCAGCUUCUCAGCCUGGGUACAUUGCAAAAGGGAUGAAGUUUGUAUUUAAGAAGAAGUGCUUCGCAGUGGAGGGGAGCCAUCCAUCACCACAUGCAAGAAGACCAGGCUGGAGGGAGAAAGGGCAAGACUGAAAUGUUGACAAGACCUCUGACUCACAGAAGGGAUGAGAUCAGAUUAGGGGAGGGUGUGUCUCAGGAUUUUUCUUGCUUUGAAAAGAUUUGUAACUCUCUCUUCUUAAGAGUCAAGUGUCUGUGGUUAAGAAUUCCUUUGCUAAGUCUGUAUUCUUGCUUUCCUGUUACAUUAUCCCUAAAGGGGUUAAACUAGAUGCUAGCAUGCCUAGAGCUAGGUGGAGCCCUGGGGAGCAUGUGUAAGCAACUGGGGGGUCAGGAGGUCUGAGAAAGCUAGACUGUGGAGUUCCAUGUCCCAAGGAAGGUUUCAGAUGAUGUCUGAGCCUGGGAGGAUGCCUUAGAGACCCAGAAGUAGGAACAAGACCCAGCCUAGACCCAGUUGGCUUAGAAGCACAUGUAAGGCCUGUGGCCUGAAGCUCUAAAGAGUAGGGAGCUCGCUACAACCAUCUGCUGGUGAGCUUGGGAAAGAGCAGUCCAGAGCUACUGCACAAUUCCAGGUGGAUAGAGGAUCCAUGGAGGAGGGAGGUCUUGGCUGGAAGCUGUUGGUGAGCAAGAGGAAAUGACUGAAUGAAGCAGGCCACAUAUGCAUUUCAAUUAUGUGUCAGCUUGGAACAUUUUGGUUCAAAUUCUGUUAAGUUUUGAGGUAAUAAAGCUAAUUAUUCUUGUCAGGUAAUGAAAGGGCACUAGAACUACACCAGCUGUGCUUAGAGUGAGGGGUCACCCUAACCAGAACCUCAGUCUAGCACACUUGGCUAGUGGAGUCUGGACAAAGUCAAAGGGAGAGGGUGUUUUCUAUCUUUUGGUGAGGGUGCAUUCUGGAUGAUAAGGACUCUGAUUGGGCUCGUAUAUACUAUUAAUUUAUCUCUGAGGACUUUCAGAAGGGUAGCCUCUGUGACCUGAGGUGGCACAGAAGUCAGCAGCAUAGCUAAGGAAAUCUGCUGAAGAUCCAUAUAUCAAGCAUUAUUAAAGCUGAAAUUACUGGGUUAGGUGGUGCAGCACGCAAAGCAUACCAGGAAGCACUUUCUUUAAGGGCUGGCGACAGACCUGCUUGAACUUGGAACUCUGCCAACCCUGGACAACAGUGCCUGGGGAUACAGAGGGAGAGGAGUGGGAGUGGCUGUUGAACAUUGCCUUAU